UACGUAGGGUGCGAGCGUUGUCCGGAAUUAUUGGGCGUAAAGGGCUCGUAGGCGGUUUGUCGCGUCGGGAGUGAAAACCUUGGGCUUAACUCAGGGCUUGCUUUCGAUACGGGCAGACUAGAGGUAUGCAGGGGAGAACGGAAUUCCUGGUGUAGCGGUGAAAUGCGCAGAUAUCAGGAAGAACACCCGUGGCGAAAGCGGCUCUCUGGAACGGUACUGACGCUGAGACGCGAAAGCGUGGGGAGCGAACAGG
rnacentral:rRNA from 1 species